rnacentral:tRNA from 1 species
CUUUGAAGGUUAUAAAUUUUAUAAGUCCCUAAACCAAAAAUAGUGUAUAAAUUACUAAGGCCU